GAUGAACGCUAGCGGCAGGCUUAAUACAUGCAAGGCGAAGGGGCAGCAAUGUCACUGUCGUACGGGUGCGUAACGCGUAUGCAACCUACCUAUCACUGGGGGAUAGCCCGGGGAAACCCGGAUUAAUACCGGCAUAACACAGGGGCUCCUCAUGGAGAUAUUUGUUAAAGAUUUAUCGGUGGUAGAUGGGCAUGCGUUCG
rnacentral:rRNA from 1 species